AGCUCAGUUGGUAGAGUGUUUGCCUUGCAUGCACAAGGCCCUGGGUUCAAUCCCCAG
rnacentral:tRNA from 1 species